UGGACUACAAUUCAACUAAAAUUAUAUUUGUUUCUGGGUUAACAUACAGAUGUAGGAUCUUAAUUUGGUCACUCUUUUGUUCCUGCACAGCAGGAAAUGGAAACUUGUCGUGUAUAUUCUAGAUUUUAAAAGGAUUCUGAAGUUUGUAAUUUCCAUUUUAAAAUGUCAGACUUUAUCUGCCCGAACGAAAAAUGUAUCAACCACUACAAAAAAUGUACAUUAAUUAUAAUCCACAUUUCCUGUUGCUGAAGGAUUAUUUUUAAGGGUGUAGCAAACUGGCUCAAAUUAAGAUCCUACCUCUGUAUAUGGUGGUGGAACUUGCUUCAUGGCUUCAUGCAAUCAUAAUGAACACUCAAAUGUUAGUCACACUCCUGGGGAUGAAUAUAUUGUGUUACCUUCUGACACAACUGUGCAAAGAAAAACAUUUUAUCAAUUCACAUCUCAGUAGUUUGCCCAGUAGCCAAGCACUCCUAAUAGUGGGAAUCAUUUUGAGGUUAGGGGAGACAGGGUAGUCAUUUUGAGGUUAGGGGAGACAGGAGAGUCAUUUUGAGGUUAGGGGAGACAGGAGAGUCAUUUGGAGGUUAGGGGAGACAGGGGAGUCAUUUUGAGGUUAGGGGAGACAGGGGAGUCAUUUUGAGGUUAGGGGAGACAGGGGAGUCAUUUUGAGGUUAGGGGAGACAGGGGAGUCAUUUUGAGGUUAGGGGAGACAGGGGAGUCAUUUUGAGGUUAGGGGAGACAGGAGAGUCAUUUUGAGGUUAGGGGAGACAGGAGAGU